rnacentral:rRNA from 1 species
CGUAUAUAAAGUUGUUGCGGUUAAAAAGCUCGUAGUUGGAUUUCUGUUGAGGAUGGCCGGUCCGCACUAUGUGCGUGUAUCUGGUUCAGCCUCGGCAUCCUCUCGAAAGCCGUUGCUGCGCUUGAUUGCGUGGCUCGGAAUUCGGGACUUUUACUUUGAGGAAAUUAGAGUGUUCACGGCAGGCAAGCGCCUUGAAUAUAUUAGCAUGGAAUAAUGUUAUAGGAUUUUGGUCCUAUUUUGUUGGUUUCUAGGGCUGAAAUAAUGAUUAAUAGGGACAAUUGGGGGCAUUCGUAUUAACGCGUCAGAGGUGGAAUUCUUGGAUUGCGUUACGACGAACUACUGCGAAAGCAUUUGCCAAGGAUGUUUUCAUUGAUCAAGAACGAAAGUAAGGGGAUCGAAGAUGAUUAGAUACCGUCGUAGUCUUUACCAUAAACUAUGCCAACUAGAGAUGGGGCGUCGUUCAUUUAUGACUCGCUCCGCAUCUUAUGAGAAAUCAAAGUCUUUGGGUUCCGGGGGGAGUAUGGUCGCAAGGCUGAAGCUUAAAGGAAUUGA